rnacentral:rRNA from 1 species
UACGGGGGGGGCAAGCGUUGUUCGGAAUUACUGGGCGUAAAGGGCUCGUAGGCGGCCAACUAAGUCAGACGUGAAAUCCCUCGGCUUAACCGGGGAACUGCAUCUGAUACUGGAUGGCUUGAGUUCGGGAGAGGGAUGCGGAAUUCCAGGUGUAGCGGUGAAAUGCGUAGAUAUCUGGAGGAACACCGGUGGCGAAGGCGGCAUCCUGGACCGACACUGACGCGGAGGAGCGAAAGCCAGGGGAGCAAACGGG